UCUUUACAAUUGUAAGAUCAUAUUUUUGCAUUUUUAUUAUGAAUUUGUGUAUAUAUGGAUACUUUUAUAAAUAAAUAGCCAUUAAAAUUUAUAUACACAUUUAGGAGAAAGCGAUCACAUUUUAGUUAUGGAGAUGUUUUGUUUAAGUAUAGCAAAACAGUGAAACACUAAUAGGAGAAUGGAUAAUCUUACUGGCAGUUUGUUUUUUUUGUCUGAAACACCAAACUCAUCCCCAUUUUUCGCAUGUCUUUGUUUCUUCUUUUUGUAUUGAUUAAGUUAUGUUCAUUUUACUUUUUGCUUAGAUGUAUUCGAAUUAUUAGUUCCCUUUUUAUUUAUAAGGGGAUAAAAAUAGAUAAAACGAGAGGAAAUGAAUUAAAAGCAGUGGUUACAAAUGAGCUGGAUUCAGUUGUAUUUCCACUACGUAUGGCUCUGUAAAGUGAACUCAACUUGAUUCCUUUCUACGUAUGCAGACCGUUUAAAUAUAUAUAUAUAUAUGGUAGGCUAAUAUAGUUUUCUAAUAUUUAAUCAGCGUGAGUAGCGAAUAACGUGAUCGUUAUUAAGGCAUAUACCGCAUACGUAAUAUACAUAUAUAAUAGGACAAAUUUAUAAUAAGGUUAAUUUUCUAAUAUGUAAUCAAUCCAUGUAUUCACGGAAAUGGUGUGAAAUAUGAGAAAAAUGUUUUUUUUUUUUUGAAACACUGAAAAAAAUUGUUUUCUUGAAUGAGAUUUUGUCACCAAUGGACUCCUAUUGUUCGAGGACGGUUCAAAUGAUGGGAAAAUGAAUGUUUUAUUCUCCAAUCAAUUGUUAUUGGUAUAUUCAAUAUUUAAGUAUUCAUGAAGCAAAAUUAUUCAUGAAUUAAUUAUUGAUUAUUAUAAAUGAAAAUAAUGAUUUCGUCUAUUUUUAAGUAUAUAUUGAUUAUAUUAAUUUCAAUUUUUCACAGUCAGCAACGACGAUAAAUUUAGGAAUAAUUUUACGUAACUAAUAUUUGAAUAUUAAAUGUGCCAAUUAAAAAUAGUUGAAAAAUAAAAAAUAUAGUUUUAUGUUAUGUUUCAUAAGUUUUAAAGUAAAAUAUCAUUCCAUUUCUUAUAGUUCGAGUCAUGAAACCAAUAUACGUUUUUAUAAUGUUUACUUGAAAUAUCUAAAUUUAAGAACACAUUAACAUGCUUUUUAGUUUUGCAUGGAAGUAUAAAAUAUUACAAGAUAAGUAUAUAUAUAAGUAAAACAAAGACCAGAACCAUCUAUACUAUGGACUAUAAGUGAUCUUAAAAAUGUUGAGUACAUGAUCAAUAUUGUAUUUGAUGUUAUAGAUUACUUAUAUCUAUCUAUUUAUAUAUAUCUAUUUAUAUAAAGUAAGGUUUGCUCUCUCAUGGGCGCGCCACGUAAGCGGACAUGUCAGAAAGUCGAAGCCAUAAGUUGACACGUGUCCCGUUAAGCAAACCGCAUCAUUUCAUUUAUUUUGGUGUACAUUUCGUUUGGGCUUUGUCUACAUUUUUGGCCUUCAUUUUGCUUCAUAAAGCCCAAUUUUAGAGAGUAAGUGGUUAUGCUCGAAACGUGUCGUUUUUAAUUCUAUUGUUUGAUCUUGUUUCUUCCGAGUCGUUGCGAUAUCAGACGACUCUCUAGGGUUUUCGAUCAAGUUGUUUUAUCUUCUUCCUAACGAUUCAAAAAUCCAUCAAUUAUAGAUUCAUCCUAUUAAUGUCAUUCUUGAAUCAUCAUCUACGAUCUACCUUAAAUUCAAAAUUACUCUUGAAAAGCGGUGGAACUUCGAGUUUAAAAAGGUGAGAUAGACUGCAAGAGCGGUGGAAAUGUUAAUGCGGUGGAGGCGAGAUGUGGCCAAAUAGAUUGUAGGAUGUGUUUAUGCCAAGACGAGCGAAGACCGAGCCAAAAACGGAGAAGUGGAGCAGCGAAAGAGGAAACGAAGCAACAUAAAAACUGAAACCAUGAGAGGUGGAAAGCUCUCAUGUGAGGAUUACGGCGGAGAAUACCGGAAAGUUGUGGAUUUAUUCACUGAAUCUUUCCGCAGCGGCUCCUCCUCUUGGACAUCCACCAUGGCAAGAUUAUGGUAAGCGACUGAAUCUGACCCUGUAUUUUGGGACUGGUUCUCUUCUUCAUUUAUGAUAUUAUAAUCCUAAUUCAUGAAUGUGAACAAGAUACACACAUGAACAAUGAAUGAUUAAUAAUGGUCAAGGCCGGUUCAAGAUAUUAGUGGGCCCUUGGACAAAAAAAAUUAGGUUUUUUUUACAUGUAUAUAUAGACAAUUUAAAAAUUUUGGGCCCUUAUGCCUAUUUAUUUUUAUAAAAAUUGGACCCCUCUUUCAUACUA